UGGAGCCGGAUGCCUUCUGGGAAGUGCUGGACAGAAAGGCAAGCGAUGCUGGAAGAAUUUUCUCUGAACAAUCACCAAAAAUUUACAAAAGCUGGAAACAUAAGUCUCCAUGCGUUGAUCUCAAAGCUCUGCAGUUAUGCUUACAAAGUUGAGGAUUACAAAAAAAUCUGCUACUGAUGCCUGCAUGGUGUUUCCUUGCCUUUUCUCUUAAUUAAUUCUCUUGCCAAAUCCCAGAUUGUAUAAUAAAUAUGUGAGUUAAGAAACAAUUUGAAAGUUGUUUAUAAAGACCACUACAGGAAAUACAACCCCUCUUAAGAAACCCCCAUUCCGAUGCCAAUAUUAUGUAAAUCAUAUAUUUAUGUGAAGGAGCAUUUUCUGUUGUCACAAGGCACUUUGAAAAUCAUAAUAUGUCUAAUGAUACUUAUAUCCAAUUAAACAAUUGAUUGCAUCAUACUGUAGUAAAUGACAUAAGCAAUGUUUGAUAUAAAAAGAAUGAUUUCUGUAAUGUCCUGGCUGAUGUUUUAUAACCAGAAGAGAAAACAAGAUACAUGCUUUCCAAUGCAAACUGUCACUGUGAUGUUUUCACCCAAACUAAAAACCAUGUGCUGGAUAAUCAUUUUUCUGCAAGACAGAUAUACUUGCCUGAAAUGAUCGUUCCAUGGUUAUGGCAAAAUAGUACUCUCUUCUAGGAUAUCUGCGCUCACAAAUAAAUACUUGAUUGCAUAUCCUGCCCUUUUCUCCUGUCUGUUUAGUAUACAGUUUUUUCCCAAUCAUUCUGGAGGAAAUCUCUCUUGCUUCUUCUGGA